rnacentral:misc_RNA from 1 species
AAGUCGUAACAAGGUUUCCGUAGGUGAACCUGCGGAAGGAUCAUUAACACGUAUCCAACGUUAAACCCCCUGUGAACCUUUAGUGUGCUCGCACAUCCCGUUUUUUGAAGUAGCAAUCCCUGGUAAAUCAUCGCCGAACAGUUUUGAUUCAGGGACUUCUGCGAAGCGAUGGAGCUUGUAGCGCGAGGCAAGUGGCCUGGCAUUCCUCUGCUGAAGUAGAUGUCUGAAAGUGGCAUUAGCCCUGCAAGAAUGGCGCAGUAAACGAUCGCUAGAGGCCGACACGGCCGGCGACCGGGUCACCGGGCUCACGCCCCCUAAUCACCUUUGCAUGAAAACGGGGAUGCGCUUAAUUGUGCUCCCACCAAACUUGAACAACUGUUAACAAUGGAUAUCUUGGUUCUC